GAACGGGAAACCCUCCGGGGUUUCUAGUGGCGAAAGGGUGAGUAACACGUGAGCAACCUGCCCCCAAGUCCGGAAUAAGCGGUGGAAACGCCGUCUAAUGCCGGAUGCCGAAUGGCCCCCGCCUGGUGGCUUUUCGAAAGAUUUAUCGCUUGGGGAUGGGCUCGCGCCCCAUUAGCUGGUUGGCGGGGUAAUGGCCCACCAAGGCUACGACGGGUAGGUGGACUGAGAGGUCGGUCACCCACACUGGGACUGAGACACUGCCCAGACUCCUACGGGAGGCUGCAGUCGAGAAUCUUCCGCAAUGGGCGAAAGCCUGACGGAGCAAUGCCGCGUGAGGGAAGAAUGCCUUUGGGUUGUAAACCUCUGUCACCCGGGACGAAAUUUGACGGUACCGGGAGAGGAAGUCACGGCUAACUACGUGCCAGCAGCCGCGGUAACACGUAGGUGGCAAGCGUUAUUCGGAUUUACUGGGCGUAAAGGGUCCGCAGGGGGCCUGACAAGUCUGUCGUGAAAGGCCAAGGCUCAACCUUGGCACUGCGGUGGAAACAGUCGGGCUAGAGUCAGUGAGGGGCAGACGGAACACCUGGUGUAGCGGUGGAAUGCGUAGAUAUCUGGUAGAACACCGAAAGCGAAGGCAGCUUACUGGGCAACAACUGACACUGAGGGACGAAAGCGUGGGGAGCAAACAGGGUUAGAUACCCUGGUAGUCCACGCCGUAAACGUUGUCAACUUGAUGUGGGAGGAUUUAACCCCUUCCGUGUCAAAGCUAACGCGAUAAGUUGACCGCCUGGGGACUACGGCCGCAAGGCUAAAACUCAAAGGAAUUGACGG
rnacentral:rRNA from 1 species